AUUGAACGCUGGCGGCAGGCUUAACACAUGCAAGUCGAGCGGAGAUGAGGUGCUUGCACCUUAUCUUAGCGGCGGACGGGUGGGUAAUGCUUAGGAAUCUGCCUAUUAGUGGGGGACAACAUUCCGAAAGGAAUGCUAAUACCGUAUACGCCCUACGGGGGAAAGCAGGGGAUCUUCGGACCUUGCGCUAAUAGAUGAGCCUAAGUCGGAUUAGCUAGUUGGUGGGGUAAAGGCCUACCAAGGCAACGAUCUGUAGCGGGGCUGAGAGGAUGAUCCGCCACACUGGGACUGAGACACGGCCCAGACUCCUACGGGAGGCAGCAGUGGGGAAUAUUGGACAAUGGGCGGAAGCCUGAUCCAGCCAUGCCGCGUGUGUGAAGAAGGCCUUAUGGUUGUAAAGCACUUUAAGCGAGGAGGAGGCUACUUUAGUUAAUACCUAGAGAUAGUGGACGUUACUCGCAGAAUAAGCACCGGCUAACUCUGUGCCAGCAGCCGCCGUAACAC
rnacentral:rRNA from 1 species